rnacentral:rRNA from 1 species
GAUGAACGCUGGCGGCGUGCCUAAUACAUGCAAGUCGAGCGAACGGACGAGACGCUUGCUUCUCUGAUGUUAGCGGCGGACGGGUGAGUAACACGUGGAUAACCUACCUAUAAGACUGGGAUAACUUCGGGAAACCGGAGCUAAUACCGGAUGAUAUUUUGAACCGCAUGGUUCAAAAGUGAAAGACGGUCUUGCUGUCACUUAUAGAUGGAUCCGCGCUGCAUUAGCUAGUUGGUAAGGUAACGGCUUACCAAGGCAACGAUGCAUAGCCGACCUGAGAGGGUGAUCGGCCACACUGGAACUGAGACACGGUACAGACUCCUACGGGAGGCAGCAGUAGGGAAGCUUCCGCAAUGGGCGAAAGACUGACGGAGCAACGCCGCGUGAGUGAUGAAGGUCUUCGGAUCGUAAAACUCUGUUAUUAGGGAAGAACAUAUGUGUAAGUAACUGUGCACAUCUUGACGGUACCGAAUCAGAAAGCCACGGCUAACUACGU